rnacentral:rRNA from 1 species
AGGGGAAACGACGGGGAAGCUUGCUUCCCCGGGCGUCGACCGGCGCACGGGUGAGUAACGCGUAUCCAACCUGCCUCUGACUGAGGGAUAACCCGUCGAAAGUCGGCCUAAUACCUCAUGGCAUCGUCUGCGGGCAUCCAACGACGAUUAAAGAUUUCAUCGGUCAGGGAUGGGGAUGCGUCUGAUUAGCUGGUUGGCGGGGUAACGGCCCACCAAGGCGACGAUCAGUAGGGGUUCUGAGAGGAAGGCCCCCCACAUUGGAGCUGAGACACGGUCCAAACUCCUACGGGAGGCAGCAGUGAGGAAUAUUGGUCAAUGGGCGAGAGCCUGAACCAGCCAAGUAGCGUGCAGGAUGACGGCCCUAUGGGUUGUAAACUGCUUUUAUGCGGGGAUAAAGUGAGGGACGUGUCCUUCAUUGCAGGUACCGCAUGAAUAAGGACCGGCUAAUUCCGUGCCAGCAGCCGCGGUAAUACGGAAGGUCCUGGCGUUAUCCGGAUUUAUUGGGUUUAAAGGGAGCGUAGGCCGUGGAUUAAGCGUGUUGUGAAAUGCAGGUGCUCAACGUCUGCACUGCAGCGCGAACUGGUCCACUAGAGUGUGCGCAACGCAGGCGGAAUUCGUCGUGUAGCGGUGAAAUGCUUAGAUAUGACGAAGAACUCCGAUUGCGAAGGCAGCUUGCGGGAGCACAACUGACGCUGAAGCUCGAAAGUGCGGGUAUCGAACAGGAUUAGAUACCCUGGUAGUCCGCACGGUAAACGAUGGAUGCCCGUUGUCAGGCUGUUUCAGCCUGGUGACCAAGCGAA